AAGAUUAAUAUCAUCGAGAGAGGUAGUAGUAAAGGUAAUGUCUUCACUAGCCUUAAAAUCUCGUAACCGUAACUGAAAGGUUGAUCGGUCACAUUGGGUCUGAAAAAAGCCCAAUGCAAAUUUAGUACAGCAGUGGGGAAUUUUGGUCAAUGGCCUAACGGCUGAACUGGCAAUUUGGGUAAACGAAAUAGAAUUGUAACUACUAAAAUAAAGUUUUAAGUAUGUAUUAAUAAUGAUAAUAUAUAUACUAGUCUUGACCAAUUACGUGCCAGCAGUCGCGGUAAUACGUAAGAGACGAGCAUUAUUCAUAUUAAAUAGGUUUAAAGGGUACCCAGACGGUCAAAAUACCUUAAUUAAAAGAAGUAUUUGACUAGAGUUAUAUAGGAGAAGACCGUACUUGAGGUGGAGAGAUUAUAUUCUGUGAUACCAAAAGGACUGAUAAAGGCGAAGGCUGUCUUUUAUGUAAUAACUGACGUUGGAGGACGAAGGCAUAGAGAACGAACAGGAUUUGACACCCUAGUAGUCUUUGCAGACAAUGAUGAAUGCCAUGGGCUAGAUUAUGUCGAAAUCAAGAAAGCGCGGACUUAGUCUAAACAUUAUAAUAAAAAUUAUAAUGCAAGCUAGAUUAGACAGACCUCAAAUUUAGUCUAUAAAUGAAAAUGAAAGCAUUUCACCUCAAGAGUAAUGUGGCAACGCAGGAACUGAAAUCACUAGACCGUUUCUGACACCAGUAGUGAAGUAUGUUAUUUAAUUCGAUGAUCCACGAAAAACCUUACCACAACUUGAAUAUCUAGUUACUAGAUACAGGAGUUGCACGGCUGUUUACAGUUAAUGUUGUGAAACUGUGGUUUUUCCAUGAAAUUAACGUAAUCCUUUGCUUUAUUUAUAGAAUGUUUUAUAAAGCAAUCUUUCUUUAUAGUAGAAAAGAUAAGAAGGAAAAAGACAAGUCAUCAUGGCCCUUAUGUUGUGGGCUAUAGACGUGCCACGUAGUCCUUAACAAAGAGAUGCGAAAAUGCGAAUUUUAGCUAAUCUCAAAAAAAAGGAUAUAAAUUAUACAAGGAUUGUAGUCUGAAACUCGACUAUAUGAAUAAGUAAUUACUAGUAAUCGUGAAUCACCAUGUCACGGUGAAUUGAAUCUCGGAUUGGUACUAACCACUCGUCGCAUGCUGAAAGGAGUUUACGCAAUAAGUUUGCUAUUCUGUUAUAAUCUCUUAUAUAAAUUGGAUUAUAAUAUUAUAAUGGAAUUCUUCGUAUGCGUUACUCUGAUUAGUGUUAAGUCGAAAUAUGGUUCGUGUAGUGGAAGUUGCACGGGGUUUAUUAGCUUA
rnacentral:rRNA from 1 species